rnacentral:rRNA from 1 species
GAAUAGCCCAGAGAAAUUUGGAUUAAUACCCCGUAAUAUAACGGUGUGGCAUCACAUUGUUAUUAUAGGUUUACCGCUAAGAGAUGGGUGUGCGGCUGAUUAGGUAGUUGGCGGAGUAAUAGCCCACCAAGCCGACGAUCAGUAGCUGAUGUGAGAGCAUGAUCAGCCACACGGGCACUGAGACACGGGCCCGACUCCUACGGGAGGCAGCAGUAAGGAAUAUUGGACAAUGGACGCAAGUCUGAUCCAGCCAUGCCGCGUGAAGGAUUAAGGCCCUCUGGGUUGUAAACUUCUUUUAUAGGGGACGAAAAAAGGGCUUUCUAGCUCGUCUGACGGUACCCUAUGAAUAAGCACCGGCUAACUCCGUGCCAGCAGCCGCGGUAAUACGGAGGGUGCAAGCGUUAUCCGGAUUCACUGGGUUUAAAGGGUGCGUAGGCGGGCAGUUAAGUCAGUGGUGAAAUCUUCGAGCUCAACUCGGAAACUGCCAUUGAUACUAUCUGUCUUGAAUACUGUGGAGGUGAGCGGAAUAUGUCAUGUAGCGGUGAAAUGCUUAGAUAUGACAUAGAACACCGAUUGCGAAGGCAGCUCGCUACACAAAUAUUGACGCUGAGGCACGAAAGCGUGGGGAUCAAACAGGAUUAGAUACCCUGGUAGUCCACGCCCUAAACUAUGGAUACUCGACAUUUGCGAUACACAGUAAGUGUCUGAGCGAAAGCAUUAAGUUCCCACCUGG